GGCGCCGUGGACGAGUGGCAAGAGUCGCCAGGCUUUCACCCUGGAUUUCGCGGGUUCGAAUCCCGUCGGCGCUACCU
rnacentral:tRNA from 2 species